GCCAGAGGAGUCGAUUUGUGCGAAAGGUGGUACAAAAUUGCUUCCUCGACUUGACUGCCAUCUGGCGGUCGUAAUCAUUCGGCAUGAUUCGAAAGUUGCCUUCGAUCGAAGCAUAGCCUAGUGCGUACGCAAGAAUCGAUGAACCGUUGGAACUUAGAAUCGUCACGACUUGGAAACACGGAAUCUUUCUUACGUUUCUUUUGAUCGACGAUUCGUCGGUAUCACGAUUCGAUUCUUUAUUUAGAGUCGUUCAAAUGAACGACUCAUUCACGAAUCGCCACAACUCUAGUCAGCGGGGGCUAACGGUAGAUUGUUACCUUGACAUUCAAAGGGUUAAGGGCCUUUUUUGUGUUAUAUUAAAUGGAGUGUUGCAGACUUCACUAUUCAACAAGUCACAAAGACUUUAACUCAUUUGUGUGACUUUGUUGCAAAUUUGUUGGAGUGUUGUAGAACCAUCGUUCUUGUAUCCUGCUAUCUGUCACUGGAGCAUAGCCUUUGACGAAAACGUUGGGGACAACAUAGCAGCCAACUACAAAUCAGAUUCCUGGUCGAUGCAACCCAAGCGCCAUCCUUCACAGUGGGGUCAUGCAAUGCUGUUUUCGGACCUCGGGCUGGUGGACAUCAAUCUGAUGCCGCAUCUGCCCACUAGCGGACGUCCGGCAGCACCUGCCAUGUCACCACUACUGGGUAAACCCCACGCCGAGGCCUCCCGAGGGGCCUCCAGUUAGACAGAUGCUGUUGCGGAUUCACACCAUCAAGAAGAUGCCCUGCCAAUGGGUGUUGGGAUGCACUUUCUGCGUCGUUUUUCUGCCGGUGUUCCAUCGCAGUCUAAAGACCGAUGUCAGGGUGUGACUUAGCAUCGGGUAUAGCAACUGUCGCUGCUCCAGCACUGGUUCCAACACCCAUGCCUCCCCCUCACCAUCAAUACGGUGCUCAGCCGUACAUGACAAUGGUGCAGUGGUUUAGGGGGGGAGGAGUGCUGUGUCUUCUGAACAAGACACAGCCAGGGAAAAAGCACCACAGGCACAAUGAUGCGAGCUGAUGCCAGUGCCAUAGACACUCACCACUUGCGCGAGUUUCACCAGCACCACAGGCAGCGUUGAGGCUGAAGAUGUCAAAUUUGCCUCAGCCAAUUGCCAGCUGAGUACAAUCCGCCAAUGACCGGACAACGGCAGACAGAAGGCUACUCAGAAGACAGAAGAACAGUUCUCGCCCACUUGGUUAUAGAUCCGUGUCCAGAGCUGACUUAGACUGUGACCGCUCUGUAGUGAACUCUUAGAAGUCAACAGACAGUUGUAAUUUGCAUUUGCUAUUACUGUGAAUUUACAUUUGUUAUAUUACAUGUAGUGUUGCAGACUUCAUUAUUCUACAAAUCACAAAAAUAAAUAAACCUUUUUAACUCA